UACGUAGGGGGCAAGCGUUGUCCGGAAUCAUUGGGCGUAAAGCGCGUGUAGGCGGCCCGGUAAGCCCGCUGUGAAAGUCGGGGGCUCAACCCUCGAAUGCCGGUGGAUACUGUCGGGCUAGAGUGCGGGAGAGGCGAGUGGAAUUCCUGGUGUAGCGGUGAAAUGCGCAGAUAUCAGGAGGAACACCAAUUGCGAAGGCAGCUCGCUGGAACGUAACUGACGCUAAGACGCGAAAGCGUGGGGAGCAAACAGG
rnacentral:rRNA from 1 species